rnacentral:rRNA from 1 species
AGUGAACGCUGGCGGUAGGCCUAACACAUGCAAGUCGAACGGCAGCACAGUAAGAGCUUGCUCUUACGGGUGGCGAGUGGCGGACGGGUGAGGAAUACAUCGGAAUCUACUUUUUCGUGGGGGAUAACGUAGGGAAACUUACGCUCAUACCGCAUACGACCUACGGGUGAAAGCAGGGAAUCUUCGGACCUUGCGCGAUUGAAUGAGACGAUGUCGGAUUAGCUAGUUGGCGGGGUAAAGGCCCACCAAGGCGACGAUCCGUAGCUGGUCUGAGAGGAUGAUCAGCCACACUGGAACUGAGACACGGUCCAGACUCCAACGGUAGGCAGCAGUGGGGAAUAUUGGACAAUGGGCGCAAGCCUGAUCCAGCCAUACCGCGUGGGGGAAGAAGGCCUUCGGGUUGUAAAGCCCUUUUGUUGGGAAAGAAAAUCAGCAGGUUAAUACCCCGCUGUUCUGACGGUACCCAAAGAAUAAGCACCGGCUAACUUCGUG